CCCAAAGAAGCUAUAUACAUAAAAAACUGGAUACUAAUAGCUGUUUUGCGAAAUUAAGAGCAAUUUCAAAUCUGUUCAGUGGAUUCUAGUUUAAAUGUGUUGAGCUUUCGACUCGGUACUUCGAGCCUUCAUCAGAAAGGCAACGUACAACCUACGUACAACCUAUCGAAGUAUCUCGCUGACAUUCUCAAACCUCUGAUUAAGUCAUCUCCUCAUUCUGUCAAUAAUGCCAAAGCCUUUCUGUCGAAAAUGAAAGAUCUCAGAGUUGAACCUGAUGAAAUCAUGAUUUCCUUUGACGUCGUUUCCUUAUUCACUUCCAUUCCUCUUGACACAGCAAGACAAAUAACCAGAAAACUUCUUACUAACAAUACCUCAUGGCAAUCAC